AAACGUCUCAAAAUAAAUGUUUCACGCUGAUUCACAUCACUGAAUCAGUGGCACUCAUGUCACCUUUUCAAGAUAAUUUUUCACAACUCUAAGAGUUAUAAACAGCUUUUUUAAAUUAAGCUUGUCUUAGCUCAGCUGUCCAUAUUGCAACAGUGCGAGACAACACUGAUCUCCUCUCCUCCUCCCCUCCCCCAGAACAGGAACUCUGCUAGAAUCCCCAGAACUGUGAACGUGGUGGAACAGUUCAAAGCGGUCAGAGCAGCGAACGCGGUGACGGAGAAGCAAGAGAAUAGUCCUCCCCCUGAGAGUGGGAUUGAUUUGAUGUCCUCAGAGUCUCUCUGCAGAUGUUCAGCUUUAACUUGGACCGCAGCUUCUCUGGCAUGA
rnacentral:lncRNA from 1 species